CCUACGGGAGGCAGCAGUGAGGAAUAUUGGUCAAUGGGCGCGAGCCUGAACCAGCCAAGUAGCGUGAAGGAUGACGGUCCUACGGGGUGUAAACUUCUUUUAUAAAGGAAUAAAGUGAGGCACGUGUGCCCUUUUGUAUGUACUUUAUGAAUAAGGAUCGGCUAACUCCGUGCCAGCAGCCGCGGUAAUACGGAGGAUCCGAGCGUUAUCCGGAUUUAUUGGGUUUAAAGGGAGCGUAGAUGGGUUGUUAAGUCAGGUGUGAAAGUUUGCGGCUCAACCGUAAAAUUGCCAUUGAUACUGGCAGCCUUGAGUGCAGUUGAGGUAGGCGGAAUUCGUGGUGUAGCGGUGAAAUGCUUAGAUAUCACGAAGAACUCCGAUUGCGAAGGCAGCUUACUAAACUGCCACUGACAUUGAUGCUCGAAAGUGUGGGUAUCAAACAGGAUUAGAUACCCUUGUAGUC
rnacentral:rRNA from 1 species